GGUCUAAGUAUGUCAUUAAACCUUAGCCUGAUAGCAGGCUCAGUAGCAUUUUGAUAAGAGUUGGAGCCAGGGAAAUGUUAAAUUUAAAUCUGUUUAUUUCUCUUUGAUGUUCAUAAAAGAUGAACAAUGCAUAAAGCUUUGUUCUUUCUAGAACAGGAAGCGAGCAACAAACUCAAUUUCACCCGAGAGUAACCAAGAAAAAAGAAGGUGAACUCGUCUUUGAAGCCUAAGCACUGAUCAUAAAAUAUAUGAUAUUAUUGCAGCACAUGCUUCCUCCAGGUGCUUGGAGAAGGUCGCUAUAGCUGCAGUGUAAGGGACAUCCUGUUGCCUCUCAGUUAUUUCAGAUUGUACAAAACAAUUACUCCUAUUUAUAAUGUAUGGUAAGUUCAGCCACUGGAGUUUCCUGCCUGGCUGAUUCUAACCUAAUUUACUAGGAACGUUAGUCUUGUGAUUUACAGAGCUACCAGAUUCCUUGGGCAGGAUUCCCCCCUUGAAGAAAGCUUCUCAUCCACAGUAGGGCCUGGGCAGUUUUACUUGCCUGUGCUAGUUCCAGCCCAGGAUCCUGUAAGAAGAGAAGGGCAAGCAACAGAUAGGGUGAGACAGGUGAAGCAGCAUUCUUGACACAGCAAAUCACAUUUGUGUUGGGUGAAAGGUCUAACCCAGGUUUGCUCCUACCAGCCUCCUCUCUCUUGUUAUCUUACUUCUAGGUGCCUCCCUUGAAUGUAUGGGUUCUGGCCAGACCCAAAAUGAAAUUGUAGGGCUAUAUUUACAUCUUCUGAAAACUCCAUAUGGGAGAAUUCGUCAAAUGGUUUGCACUUUUAUAGCCCAAGUGUUUGUGUCUGCUCCUCUAGGGAGCCAAGGUGGAAUGUCUCCAUUCUGGGUGAGCCUGGGUGUAAGGUCACUCAUAGGCACGCAUUAUGACUGAUUUAAACGCCAUGCAAAAGCAGAGCGAGAUGCCAGAUUCCACAGUCUGCAAUUCCUUGGGAACUAGUUCUCCUAUUUGGUUACCUGGUGUGGUGUCAGCAUUGUGCUUUGAGGAUGCAAUGGUUCUGGAACAGCACCACUCAAAAGAACCUCAUCUCUGGAGUCAGAGGUACAGCAUCAGCUCAAGCUGUGGCUGCAUGUCCAACAGCUGGCAGGCUGGAUGGCCACAGUUCCAUCAGUACGCUCAGCAAGGUAGGCCUUGUGCAAACAGACAGCAUGCACUGACACAGCAGACAAGCAGGGGAAAAGCCAGUGCCUCUGUACCACUGGGCACAGCAGAUCUUUGUGUUCAUAUGGGAACGGCGCUUCCAAUAUCAGCAGAGAAAGUCCUUGGGGAAUUGAAGGCACAAAGCACUCAUUCAGCAGGCCGGAGGGACAGCUCUCUGUGUUUAACCUCUGCACCAGCAAGGAGGAGAAUGUGA
rnacentral:lncRNA from 1 species